UACGUAGGGCGCGAGCGUUGUCCGGAAUUAUUGGGCGUAAAGAGCUCGUAGGCGGUUUGUCGCGUCUGCCGUGAAAGUCCGGGGCUCAACUCCGGAUCUGCGGUGGGUACGGGCAGACUAGAGUGCGGUAGGGGAGAAUGGAACUCCUGGUGUAGCGGUGGAAUGCGCAGAUAUCAGGAAGAACACCGAUGGCGAAGGCAGUUCUCUGGGCCGUAACUGACGCUGAGGAGCGAAAGCGUGGGGAGCGAACAGG
rnacentral:rRNA from 1 species